ensembl:lncRNA
GCUCUGGCAAACCUGGAGAGGAUCGCAGUGGUGUGGAGCGUGGGUGAUGCAUGUCAGAGGCAGUGCCCAACCUCCUGCAAUCAGUGGUAUGUGGUGCAGCCCUCUGUCCUUCUGACAGGAGGUGAAUUGAGGCAGGCCAAGCGGCAGGAACACUGCUCGUGUUUGGGUGAAGGUAGUCAAUAAAUCUCUGGAAGCCAUACAUGUUUUGCUCACCACCUACUGCUAACUCUUCACCACACUCAGGGAUAUGGAAGAGCUGGAGAACCACAGGAGACUGUCACCACAUCCCCACAGGAUCUCCUGCUGAGGAGAGUACUGCAGCAGUCAAACCUGCAAUGGCCAGGCUGGUCAGCUUGAAGGGAGAUCUCUGAGUGCAAGGGCAAGCGCUGCACCUCUGGAAGGAAAGCUGCUACUCUACUUGCAAGUGAAUAGCCAUUGUCACCUGUCACAUUACUGCAGUGGUUGUAAUGAAGAAAACAAUGAGGUUGUGCUUUGGAUGCCUCAGUGAAGUGCCUGACGUCACAAGGAAGGGAGCUAGAACAUCAGUCUGCAUCUGUUGUCUUCUGCAGAGGGUUGUCAUCGGUCAUCUUGUCUGCAGAAGCAGUUCAUGCACAUGCUUAUGGUUGCCUGGUUUUGACCCAGCGAAUGCGCAAGGAGGAAAGCUUUCUGUUCCUGCUCACUACAUCUUGGUUUCAGGAAAGUGUCUUUUUACUAUACUGUGGUAUGUAGGUCUGGGAGACACAAGAACAUUUGUGAAUUUA